UAACCGAAGUAUUAUCGCGAAUGUAUACGAAAACGUACGAAUACGACCGAAAGCUCAGCGAACGCGGAGGAGAGAACGAACCUACGUCGUUGUUGGAGUAGGAAGGAAGCGAUAUUGUGAGUCCGUGCUGAGGAGUCGAGCUUCCGUCGUCGUUCCUUCGCGUUCGAGGAACGAUGAGGAGUACGACAUUGAAUAAAAGGAAGCGAACGUGCGGCUUUCAAAUAAAAUAAGAAGAUCAAGAGAAUAACAGAUAUAAGAGAAAGAAAGUCUUUCAAGAGUUCAAUCAUAAAUUUAAUCGAAUUAGAAUUGAAUAGAAAAAAAGAAAAAAAAAGAAAAGGGGAAGAUUUGGUAGACGCGCAUGUCCGUUCCCAGUUGUUGUUAGUGGUGGUCAUGCUUCAUGAAUUGUCGUCGAUGAAGUAAAACCGAACUCGGGUUGUCCAGACUGACUGUGCUAAAUAUUUGAAUACACACCUUGGUGAACGGAUGCGAUUGAACGUUUGCUAUUCCUUAAAAGGAGGAAGACGAGAACGAGGACGAGGACGAGAACAAGGACGAGGACGAGGACGAGGACAAGGAGGAAUCUUCCCUUUAGUAUUAACUGCGUUUUUUUACUUGUCCUUUCCCUCUCUCUUUUUGGUGGCGGUAACAACCACCAGCAGCAGUAGCAGCAGCAGUAGCACCACCACCACCACCCUCACCCCCACUAUUAUUACUACCACCACUACCACCAUUACCACCGACUAGAAUCCUCGUCCCACCCCAGAAAGCUUCUCCCUCCCCCAAAAUAUGGUCGGAGGCGGUGACGGUGUUGGUGCUGUUGCUGCUGCUGCUGCUGGUGCUGCUGCUGGUGCUGGUGCUGGUGGCAGCGUAGCGCGGGUGCGCGCGGUGCUACCUUAACAGCUAGAACGCUGCUGGACGACAGUGGUGCUGACUUUGGAGAGACUCGUCGAGCUAACCGAAGAAAAUCUUGCAAGCUCGUUCGAGCUCCACCGGAUGGCUCGACGUGUACUACUUCAUUGCUAAAAUAAUAAGCCGAGAAAAAGAGAGAGAAAGCACACGCGCAACAACAAAAAAGAAACAGGGACAAUUAGAUACAUAUUUGCAAACAAGGAAGGAAGUAGAAAAAAGCUCGUCGCUGUCAAGCGAUCUUGAAUGUAUGAGAGAGAGAGAGAGAGAGUGUGUGUGUAUGUAUGUAUGUAUGUGUGUGUGUGUGUGUGUGUGUGUGUGAGAGGGAGAGAGAGUGCCGGUCGAUAAUUAGAUCCUUGUGCGAUUUCCUCAUCUAAGAAGAUAGAAGAAUAAAAGUUAAGGGCAAAUAAAGGAGUGUCUCGUCCUGGAUUAAAAGCUUUUAUAGUGUUCCUCGUGAUACCCAGUGCUAAAGUUUGAUUACCUUUAUCAUUGAAAAGAAUAGAAAGGAAAAUAUAAAAGGGGAGGAAGUAAGAAGUGAAAUAAAAAAAAUCUAGGGAACGUUGUCGAACAACAGAAGGUUGUCCAAGAAGGGAAGAGUUGGUAGUGUCUCUCUCUCUAUCCGUUUCUGGUUCCCAUCGGUUGUUUUUCCAAGCUCUGUCGCAACGACGGCGGUCGAUCCAGAGCUCGAGGAAGCAAGUGGAAGGGAGGAGGCCGAGGCGCAGGAGGAGCAGCAGCAGCAAGAGGAGGAGGAGGAGGAAGAGGAGUUGGUGGUGGUCGUGGAAGAGGAGAAGGAGGAAGAGGAAGAGGUGAUUUCUACGUUCGAACGAGGAAGAUCGUGCUUCGUGCAUCUCCGCUGCGGAUCUCACGAUGACGGAUGGCUGUACGUGCGUUCUUUCCUCCUUUGAAACACGACUGACCAGCGACGGGGACGAACGGAACCACUUCUCUGUACCUUGAUACGAUCUCGUGGGCGUGCGGGGGUGACUGGAGUGAUGGGAUGGGGCCAGAGCCCCAUGGAGUUCGGGUAGACCCGUCUCCGGCCCAGCUCCCCAGCCCCCUCCGCCAUAAAUAUCGCCACUGCUCCUGCCAAAGACGCAGAGGGCCCCCAAGAUCGCGAUGGAGGCUUCUAGCAAUCAACAACUACAACAAAAAGAGAAGGAGUCACGUGUUCACAGGCCUUACGCCUUCGAUAAGAUGGAGGGGCUGGUGCGGGAGAUGCAAGACCCUCAAAACGGGGUACCCGUGCGCAGCCAAAAACAAUUUCUCACUUUGAUCCCCUCAGCGUUCAUGGGUUACGACCUCGUCGAGUGGCUUAUGGAUCGGCUUUCCAUCGAGGAAUCAGUAGAGGCGCUCCAUAUUGCUAAUCAACUAUGCCAGUAUGGUUACUUCUUCCCGGUGAACGACUCCAAGACGCUUACCGUUAAGGAUGAUAGCUCGCUAUAUAGAUUUCAGUCACCGUAUUAUUGGCCAUGGCAACAUAGAAAUCCUGACAACGUGGAAUACGCUAUUUAUUUGGCUAAACGAACAUUACGGAACAAACAACGGCACGCUCUUGAAGAUUACGAAAUCGAAGCAUUAAACAGUCUACGGAAGAACCUGCAAAAUAAAUGGGAUAUUAUACAACUACAGGCUGAGGAACAGGCUCAGGUACGAUUAGCUAAAGACCGGAAGAAGGGGGAUAAGAUAGUAAGCGAUUCACAGGAAAGAGCAUUUUGGAGAGUUUACCGGCCACCACCUGGUUGUCUUAGCAGUCUUGAAGUAGUUCCAGGACCGACACGUUUUCGUCCAGGACUUCCACGUCCUCCGCCACGUAAACGAACCGUCGCUGAAUUACAACGAGAGGUGGACUUUCUUCAAAACAGUUUAACACGCACGAGAAUCAAGGUUUCAGCUGCUAUAGAAAAUUUGAAGUCAUAUUUUGAAACUUACGUGGAAUACGACCCGAUGUUCGUACAUCCGCUACCUUCGAAUCCGUGGAUCACAGAUGACAGUACAUUCUGGCAAUUGAACAGUCCAGUAGUGGAAGUCCCCACGGAAAAGCGUGUCAAACGAUGGGAAUUAUCGAUGGAAGAACUCAUGUCUGAUCCAACAGGCUUGCUCGAAUUCACGAAUUAUUUGAGGAAAGAAUACAGUCACGAAAAUAUUCGCUUUUGGUUGGCUGUUAAAGAUUUGAGGCAUAGUUACCAAGCUCAAAUACCGGAAAAGGUUAACGAAAUUUUCAGAGAAUUCCUGGCUCCGGGUGCUCCUUGCGAGAUCAACAUCGAUGGAAAGACAAUGGAGAAGGUUCAUCAAGAGAUGAGAAAUCCCAGCAGAUUUACCUUCGAUUCAGCCGCCGAGCAUGUAUAUACUUUACUUCUGAAGAAGGAUUGUUACCCCAGAUUUAUUCGCUCGGAUCAAUAUCGAAAUCUUUUAGCGGCCGGCAUACAGCCAUUGCAAAAGAAAAGAUUCUUCAGCUUCGGUGGCCAAGCAAAAAAGAAAAUGGCGUCUAGCGCGAGUACAACGACGAGCACGUUGCAACAACAACAACAACAACAACAACAUGGUGGCAAUCUAGGAAGCAGUGGAGGUGGUACUGGUGGUAGUGCUAGUAGUGGUGUUGGUGGUGUUGGUAGUGGUGGUAGUGGUGCUGGUGGUGGUAGAAGAAGAGGAAGCGAUCGAAGCCUCUCGGGAUCAGCUCACGAACUUGCCGUUUGUGGAGUUCGUGAAAUAAGUUCAACGCCAAGAGUCCCGCAUUCUCAUAGCCAAUCAAAUCUCACCGAUAUUCCAUACAGGGGUGAUCUGGCGCGACUCCUAAAGAUCCCUACGAGGCCUAGUCCACAUAGUAUUCAGGAUGCUGGCGCCACGGAGGCGACGGUUCGCCCUAUGGACGACGUUUGCCCUUGGGACGCGAUCCCAGGGCCAAGUACAGAAGCCGGGCCGGAUGCGGCAUCGUUUGGAACGAGCCCGUGGCCUGACACGACCCAGGAAUCCUGGGAAUACGGGAACGACGUUACCAAAACGUCCAUACAUUUUAUCGACGUGGCUCGACCAUCUCGAAAGAAUUCUUCACAAUUGGAUUCAUGCAGUUCCUCUUCCGAUGUCAGUCUUGCUAUAGCCGAAGUCUCGGACAGGUUGAGAAAGUCCUGCAGUCUUCAGCACAGUGCUGUCCCAAGUGCCAGGAUGGAACGGCAUGGUAUCGGUUCUGGACCGAGUGGACAUACCAUCACCAGAAAUUAUUCAACUGGUUCAACUAGCAACAGAGUCAAACUCUCGGACAUUGGUCGGCCAUUGGCCACGUCAUGCAACUUACCAUCGCCUCGGGAAUCCUUCGAGUAUAGCCACGCAGCUGGUGAGAAGUUCGAGACGAUAAUAUCCGAGGCAACGAUCGAGGAACCAGAAACAUUAAUUAUAACGACAACGACGACUACUACAUCGUUAGAAACAACGCAACAAAUGGACAAAGUUGUAACGAUAGAGGAAACAAAAAAAGGUACGAGAAGGUUAUCAGCGAAAGCACCGUUGAUAAGUAUCAGUGCGAUCGUCGGCGACUUGCCAAGUGAUUCCGAGGGUGUUGGAACAACGAUUGGCGAUGUUUGUACGCCAUCCAAAGAAACUUUAAUGGAAAUUGAAUUGGAGGAAGAGAAAGAGAGAAAGGAAAAGGACAAACAAAAAGAAACGGAGAAGGAGGAAGAAAGGGAAACGGAAAAGGAAAAAGAUAAAGAAGAAGAAGAAGAAGAAGAAGAAAGAGGAGGAGGAGAAGUAGAAAGAGAAGGAGAAGAAGUGUUGUUGGAAAAGGAUGAUGUUGAAAAAGUAACCAAGGAAGUUGGUGCCGAAAUACAAAAGGAUGAGCCCACUGAGGAAGCUCAGGUUGUUCCUGUUUGGGAGCCGGACACCCAACAGGAAGACCAAACGGCACCAACUACCACCGCUACAACCACCAGUACUGUGCCCACUCGGGAUAAGCGUGACAAUAAUGUUAACGAAGUGUGCCCGUGGGAGGACGAGUAUAAUUUCUCGUAGAGGCGUAGAAUCGAAGACUGAAAUGGAAGACGAGACGCGUUAUAGUUGAAGGGAGAACUGUAGAGUGGAUACAACCUAUGUAAAAACGUAUGCGACAUUAGGUUAUUUGUAACUUAGCGUUAAAAGCGCUCUGAUAUUUGCAUUUUACACUUUAAAAAACACACAUUCGUAAAUCCGAUUAACAAUUUUCUUCACUUCGCUGAUCUCGAGUGCAUGAACUUUCUCGUAUGGUUACUUCGAAUAUUCGAUAAGAUGUGUCAUUAAAACAAGUUAUCGAAUGAUCAAGAAAAAUGUUUAGAUAUCGGUCAAACAGAUUUGAUGAUCCAUGCACCAUCGAUAAAAUAGAUUUGCGUGAUCUUCGAAUUGUUGUAUUUGAGUUUUAAGGUUCGAAUAAACGUUCGAAUACGUUCGAUCUACGAAUAGAAAUAUGAUUACUAUAAACGAUCGUUGAUAAAUUAAUAAUAUUCUUUCUAAAUUAAAACAAAUUAAUGUGCAAAUUGAUAUAUGGCCUAACAUUUUGAUUUAUCGAUACGAUUACCGACUGAGCCAUUACAGCCAUUUUGUUUUUCUCUUUUUAAAAUAAGUCGAGGUAUUAUAAUUAAUUUCCAUAUAUUUUCUAUUUAUAAUUAAUGACGAUUAUAUGAAAUAAACGAGAAGUUGUUGUCACAUAAAGCGUAUUAGAAUAUGCAUUUAGGCUACGAAUAAUAUGCAGUAGUGGUGCGUAAUGCAAAAUGUCUCUGUGUCGAAUAAAAAAUAACACAAAAAAAAAUAAGAAAAAUAUUAAUCGAAAAUAAUUUCUAUGAUAUCGUUCGUUAAGCAUCGAAUAAAGCGAUAAAUUAUAUUCGAGAACAAAAUUAUCGAGAGUCUUGCUUGAAUUUAUACGUUAAAUUUGAUUUUUUAUUUGUAACAACCAUAAGCGUGGCCUUUGGAUGCUCGUCAACAAUGAGCCCCUUGACCGCACGCAAAGACCACCUUAAUAAUUAUCAAUAAUAAUUGUUAAUUCAAUAAUUCGUAUGUGUGAUUUUAAUAAGAUUAAAAUUAAUCUCAACUUCGAUGGAAUAUUAAUUUAAGUAUCAAAUUAAAUAUUAAUAAUUUACUAAAAUAUAAUAUUUCAAAUAAACAUAAUUAUUUCUUGUGUAAUUAUUCCUAUAACAUUUGUUCCUACUUUGUUGUUAAAAUAAUAAUAAUAAUAAAAAGAAAUUGAUUAACAUAAAUCGACUAUAAUAUAUCGCUUUAAAUAAAAAAAAAAAAGAGGCUAACAACGUAAGCAUGAACGUCUCUCUAAUAAUUCGUCGUUAGAAUAAAAUAUUUAAUGAAAACUGUUGCGCGCUCUUAAAGCCCACCUUGAUAUUGUCGCUUAAUCGUUUUUUCCCGCUAAUUAAUUAAACGUCUAAUUAAAUAUUAACGAACGCGUAAAUGAUUCGUCUACUUGUUAGUGUUACGAAUAUUCGAUCUAAAAAAUAAUUUACAACAAAAAAAAUAAUAAUUAAAAGAAAAAAAAAUAGAAAAACAAUAUAUAAGAAAAAGCCACCCCCAAAAAAAAAGAAAGAUCGAACGAAGAAGAUAAUCUAACGCAAAUAUUACUAUUCUAAUUACAAAAAAAAAAAAAAA